rnacentral:lncRNA from 1 species
GUUCAGUCCCUACCUUUGCUAUUUCUAAAUAAAUAACUUAGAUAUUUUAUGGUUCAGUAGUUUCAUUUAAGUGAAUGUUUCUGAAUGAUGAAAAUAGUUUUCCACCUCUUGUGGUAACUUAUUUUUAAAGGAAAGGGUUUAUGUGUGGGAAACGAUUUUAAAAAGGAUUUUUCGCUUUUCAUAUUUUUAGUAUUUUAAAACGAGUUUUCGGGUGGGAAACGUUUUAAACUAAUAGAUGUGGAUUUAUGAAUAAAAUAUUAUAAUCGUGUGAAUCGUUUUAUGUGAUGUAGUGAAUGUAUAUGGUUGUAUAUAUACUGUGGUUGUAUCUUGUACUUGUGCGACGUCGUGCAAAUAUAGGGAAGACUCUGUCCGUGUGAAUAGUGGGUUUUCUGUAUUUUUGGUGGAUCUGA